UAACGUAGACGAAAGUUACGCUAAUACCGCAUAUUCUGUGAGCAGGAAAGCAGGGGAUCGCAAGACCUUGCGCUGAUUGAGCGGCCGAUAUCAGAUUAGCUAGUUGGUGAGGUAAAGGCUCACCAAGGCGACGAUCUGUAGCGGGUCUGAGAGGAUGAUCCGCCACACUGGAACUGAGACACGGUCCAGACUCCUACGGGAGGCAGCAGUGGGGAAUUUUGGACAAUGGGCGCAAGCCUGAUCCAGCCAUGCCGCGUGAGUGAAGAAGGCCUUCGGGUUGUAAAGCUCUUUCAGCCGGGAAGAAAACGCAUGGGUUAAUACCCUGUGUGGAUGACGGUACCGGAAUAAGAAGCACCGGCUAACUACGUG
rnacentral:rRNA from 1 species